GUGCUCGCUUUGGAAGCACAUAAACUAAACUUGGAAUGAUAGAAAAUAUUAGCAUGGCCUCUGCGCAAGGAUGACAUGAAAAGGGGGGGGGGCACUACUUGAUCUG